CUAGUUGUAUUAUUAGUUAAUGCAAGAUCGACUACGUCGACUAAAGUUCUAGGUAGAAUAAUGAUGAUGACAAUUUUUUACCUAUAUGUCUUGACCAAGUCUCGUGCCAGCAGUCGCGGUAAUACGUGGAAGACUAGUGUUAUUCAUCUUUAUUAGGUUUAAAGGGUACCUAGACGGUAUUUCUAGCCCAAAAUAGGGUACGGAUUUACUAGAGUUUUAUGUGAGGAGGGGAGUACUCGUGGAGUAGAGAUGAAAUUUUGUUAUACUAUGAGGUAACUGGUGGCGGCGAAAGCAACCUUCUAUGUAUAAACUGACGUUGAGGGACGAAGGCUUGGGUAGCAAAUAGGAUUAGAUACCCUAGUAGUCCAAGCAGACAAUUCUGAAUGCCAUAGAUUAGAUUAUUUUUGGUCUAUAAAUGAAAGUGUAAGCAUUCCACCUUAGGAGUAAUGUGGCAACACAGGAACUGAAAUCAUUAGACCGUUUCUGAAACCAGUAGUGAAGUAUGUUAUUUAAUUUGAUGGUCCACAAAAAACCUUACCACAACUUGAAUAUUUUUUAAUUAAUACAAGCGUUGCACGGCUGUCUUCAGUUAAUGUCGUGAGAUUUUGGUUAACUCCAUUAAUUAACGUAAACCCUUACUUUAUUUAUUUUUUUUUAU
rnacentral:rRNA from 1 species